rnacentral:misc_RNA from 1 species
GAUGAAGAACGUAGCGAAAUGCGAUAAGUAGUGUGAAUUGCAGAAUUCAGUGAAUCAUCGAAUCUUUGAACGCACAUUGCGCCCUUUGGUAUUCCAAAGGGCAUGCCUGUUCGAGCGUCAUUUGUACCCUCAAGCUUUGCUUGGUGUUGGGCGUCUUGUCUCUAGCUUUGCUGGAGACUCGCCUUAAAGUAAUUGGCAGCCGGCCUACUGGUUUCGGAGCGCAGCACAAGUCGCACUCUCUAUCAGCAAAGGUCUGGCAUCCAUUAAGCCUUUUUUUCAACUUUUGACCUCGGAUCAGGUAGGGAUACCCGCUGAACUUAAGCAUAUCAAUAAGCGGAGGA